rnacentral:rRNA from 1 species
GAUGAACGCUGGCUACAGGCUUAACACAUGCAAGUCGAGGGGAAACGACGGGGAAGCUUGCUUCCCCGGGCGUCGACCGGCGCACGGGUGAGUAACGCGUAUCCAACCUGCCUCUGACUGAGGGAUAACCCGUCGAAAGUCGGCCUAAUACCUCAUGGCAUCGUCUGCGGGCAUCCAACGACGAUUAAAGAUUUCAUCGGUCAGGGAUGGGGAUGCGUCUGAUUAGCCUGUUGGCGGGGUAACGGCCCACCAAGGCUACGAUCAGUAGGGGUUCUGAGAGGAAGGUCCCCCACAUUGGAACUGAGACACGGUCCAAACUCCUACGGGAGGCAGCAGUGAGGAAUAUUGGUCAAUGGGCGGGAGCCUGAACCAGCCAAGUAGCGUGCAGGAUGACGGCCCUAUGGGUUGUAAACUGCUUUUAGGCGGGGAUAAAGUGAGGGACGUGUCCUUCAUUGCAGGUACCGCAUGAAUAAGGACCGGCUAAUUCCGUG